rnacentral:rRNA from 1 species
UCCAGACUCCUACGGGAGGCAGCAGUGGGGAAUAUUGGGCAAUGGGCGCAAGCCUGACCCAGCAACGCCGCGUGAAGGAAGAAGGCUUUCGGGUUGUAAACUUCUUUUAAGAGGGAAGAGCAGAAGACGGUACCUCUUGAAUAAGCCACGGCUAACUACGUGCCAGCAGCCGCGGUAAUACGGAGGAUGCGAGCGUUAUCCGGAUUUAUUGGGUUUAAAGGGUGCGUAGGCGGGCUUUUAAGUCAGCGGUAAAAAUUCGGGGCUCAACCCCGUCCGGCCGUUGAAACUGGGGGCCUUGAGUGGGCGAGAAGAAGGCGGAAUGCGUGGUGUAGCGGUGAAAUGCAUAGAUAUCACGCAGAACCCCGAUUGCGAAGGCAGCCUUCCGGCGCCCUACUGACGCUGAGGCACGAAAGUGCGGGGAUCGAACAGGAUUAGAUACCCCUGUA